GUUGAAACACUGGUUCCUGUAUGAUCACUGAAGUUAAGCAACAUUGAGCAUGGGCAGUACCCAUAUAGGUGACUGCUUGGGAGUACUCGGUGUUGUAAG